CUCUCUCUCUCUCUCUCUCUCUCUCUCUCUCUCUCUCUCAUUGUGUCAUAUGGAUUACUGUUAAUUUGUUAUGCUGAUCUGUUCUGUACGACAUCUAUUGCACGUCUGUCCGUCCUGGAAGAGGGAUCCCUCCUCAGUUGCUCUUCCUGAGACUCCAUGGCUGAGUAUGUGAAAAAGACACUCAUGGAACCGUGAGGAACUUACUUACUUAUCCCGACAUUUGAAGACAUGAAGGGAGAUGUGGCCCUGCAGAUCCUUCCCUAUCUUCUCCCUGGAUCCAGCUACAAGGUGGCAAAGAACAGCACCCGUCCCACUUUGGAUGAGGCAAAAGCCUACUUCAUGAUAAGAAACCUGUAAGAACCAACAUGCCAGAGUAUCUCCGUGAAGUGGGGAAAACAAGAGCUGAACCCUUCAUCUUAGUUGCUGCAGGAAGUAUAAUGUUACAGUUUUGUGUGUUUUUUUUUUUUUUUCAUUUCAUUUCUCACUUCAAAGAUGUGAAACUGUGAACAAAAGGAGAUAUUGCCACUAACAAGAACUGUGUAUUAAUGUAUGAUAAGAGAUAUAUUCAUAUAGUGUGUAUGAAUUUUAAAAAACUGAAUAAUCAUAUGUGAAGCAUGGUGUGUAUUUUUGUUUUUGCAAGGAAAUAUUUAAUUAGAGAAACAGUAACAAAAUGAUUGCAUUACUUUUAUGAACACAAUCUCAGCUUCUUCUCUAUCUGCAAUCUUCGCCAUCUUAACAUCAACUUUUGACAUUUGAAUGAAUUUGAAUUUAACAAACAAGUAAAUGUUUUCCAGGGAUUUUGCUGGGAGGAAGUUGCCAAAUCUACCAAUAAUAACAUUAUCAUCAUGUUUGUGUAUGUCUCAAGAAAAAAAAAAAACAUACAGUGAUCUAUUUCUAUUUUAUAAACCUUGUAAAUACAUCAUUUCCCCCUUAUCUAUGUAUUCUAUGUAUGAAAUGUUUGCAGUACAUAUUUGAGAUGUCAGAAUUCUGAGGAAAUGAGUGUUAUUGAUGAGUGGUGAAAUGAGUGUUGUGAUGUUACUUCAGUCUGUA